UACGUAGGCAGCAAGCGUUGUUCGGAAUUACUGGGCGUAAAGAGUGUGUAGGCGGUGCUCUAAGUUUGUCGUGAAAUCUCCCGGCUUAACUGGGAGGGUGCGGCGAAAACUGGAGUGCUAGAGGGUGGGAGAGGAAAGCGGAAUUCCUGGUGUAGCGGUGAAAUGCGUAGAUAUCAGGAGGAACACCUGCGGUGUAGACAGCUUUCUGGACCACUUCUGACGCUGAGGCUCGAAAGCGUGGGGAGCAAACAGG
rnacentral:rRNA from 1 species